UGGGGAAUAUUGGACAAUGGGCGAAAGCCUGAUCCAGCCAUGCCGCGUGUGUGAAGAAGGUCUUCGGAUUGUAAAGCACUUUAAGUUGGGAGGAAGGGCAGUAAAUUAAUACUUUGCUGUUUUGACGUUACCGACAGAAUAAGCACCGGCUAACUCUGUGCCAGCAGCCGCGGUAAUACAGAGGGUGCAAGCGUUAAUCGGAAUUACUGGGCGUAAAGCGCGCGUAGGUGGUUCGUUAAGUUGGAUGUGAAAUCCCCGGGCUCAACCUGGGAACUGCAUUCAAAACUGACGAGCUAGAGUAUGGUAGAGGGUGGUGGAAUUUCCUGUGUAGCGGUGAAAUGCGUAGAUAUAGGAAGGAACACCGGUGGCGAAGGCGACCACCUGGACUGAUACUGACACUGAGGUGCGAAAAGCGUGGGGAGCAAAACAGGAUUAGAUACCCUGGUAGUCCACGCCGUAAAACGAUGUCAACUAGCCGUUGGGAGCCUUGAGCUCUUAGUGGCGCAGCUAAACGCAUUAAGUUGACCGCCU
rnacentral:rRNA from 1 species